ACAUACGACCAUACCCAUUGGAAAACUCGGGAUCCCGUCCGCUCUCCCAUAGAUAAGCCAAUGAGGGCUGGCCUAUUAGAAGGAGUGUAUGGU
rnacentral:rRNA from 2 species